CUGGAUGUAGGCCAAUUGGCAGGCCGCCUGAUUUGGGAUCAGGAGAAUGUAGGUUCGAGUCCUAUCAUCCGGA
rnacentral:tRNA from 2 species